CGCCCUGUGGUUGGCGCCGCCGUCUCCAUGCCGUUGGAACAGCCUCCGCCCCCUCGGCGCGCCCCCACCUUCCACGCGCACCCUGACGCCGACGCGAGGCAGCUCCUCGGCGCGCUCCUGCCACGGCGCGCGGCCACCGCCCGCCACGUCCAGCAGGCGCACGCCCGCCUCGCCGUCCUCGGCCUCGCCACCGCGCGCGUCCUCCCGCACCUCCUCGCCGCCCUCCCCCGCCUCCCGCCGCUCCACGAUGAAGCCUCCUCCUCCUCCUACCCGCUCUCCUGUUCCGCCGCUCCAACUCCUCCUCCGCCUUCGCGUCCAACCACCUCCUCCGCGUGCUCCCCCACCCGCUCCCGCUCCGCCUCUUCCCCGGCCUCCGGCGACGCAACCCCCACUCCUUCACCUUCCUCCUCUCCUCCAUCUCCAUCCACCUCGACGCCGGCCGCGCCGGCGGCCCGGCCUCCUCCUCUCUGGGCUCCCACGUGCACGCGCUGGCCGUGAAGGCGGGCGCGGCCGGCGAUCUCUACGUGCGGAACGCGCUGACGCACUUCUACGGCGUCUGCGGCGACGUGGGAGCGAUGCGGAGGGUGUUCGACGAGCUGCCGCGCGUGCGGGACGUCGUGACCUGGAACGCGGUCCUUGCCGGGUACGUCCGAGCGGGCAUGGUGAGGGUUGCGCGAGAGAUGUUUGAGGAAAUGCCGGUGAGAGAUGAGGUUUCCUGGAGCACCGUGGUGGGCGGGUAUGUGAAGGAGGGGGAGCUGGAUGUGGCGCUGGCAUUGUUUAGGGAUAUGGUGGAGAAUGGGGUCAGGGUGAAUGAGGCUGCGGUGGUGACGGCAUUGUCGGCGGCCGCACAGCUGGGUUUGCUUGAGCAUGGCAGGUUUGUGCACCAGGUUGUCCAUCAAGAACGGAUGCCGAUCAGUGUGAAUAUAGGGGCUGCCAUGGUGGAUAUGUAUGCCAAGUGUGGGUGUGUAGCAGUGGCCAGGGAAGUUUUCGAUGGGAUGCCUAGGAGGGAUGUUUUUGCAUGGAACGCCAUGAUCUGCGGACUUGCUGCUCAUGGGUUGGGACAGGAUGCAGUGGAACUCUUUGAACAGUUUCUCGCCGAGGGUUUGAGUCCAACGAACAUUACAUUUGUUGGCGUGCUAAAUGCCUGCAGCCGCUUUGGCCUUGUUGCUGAGGGGCGGCGGUAUUUUGAAUUGAUGGCUGAAAAAUAUAGUGUUGAGCCGGAAAUGGAGCAUUAUGGCUGCAUGGUUGAUCUUCUAGGCCGGGCUGGUCUUAUUCAAGAAGCCAUUGAAUUGAUCGAAGGGAUGCCUAUUGCACCUGACCCGGUUCUCUGGGGCACUGUACUCUCGGCCUGCAAGAAACAUGGCCUGGUGGACUUGGGGAUCAAGGUUGGUAACAAGCUAGUUGAACUGGAGCCAGCUCAUGAUGGCCACUAUGUCCUCCUUGCAAGUAUUUAUGCCAAGGCAAAGAAAUGGGAUGAAGUCAGGGAAGUCAGGAAACUGAUGUCUAGUCGGGGUACCAGUAAGUCAGCUGGCUGGAGCUUGAUGGAAGCACAAGGAAACGUGCAUAAGUUUCUAGUAGGAGACAGAGAUCACAAGGAUUCCGUUCGGAUAUAUAACAUGCUCGACAUGAUUAACAGAAAGUUGGCAGAUGCAGGGUAUGUACCAGAGGUGUCGUCUGUAUUGCAUGACAUUGGAGAUGAAGAGAAAGUGCAUGCAAUCAAGGUGCAUAGCGAGCGUCUGGCAAUUGCUUAUGGGUUCAUAGUUACGGAAGUUGGCAACCCAAUCCGUAUUGUUAAGAACCUUCAGGUGUGUGGGGAUUGUCAUGAAUUCAGUAAGAUGGUGACAAAGGUUUUCAAUAGGGAGAUUAUUGUGAGAGAUGGUAGUAGAUUCCAUCAUAUGAAAGAAGGGAAGUGUUCUUGCCUUGACUAUUGGUAGUUAAUCAGCUUAUAGUUUUUGUUGUUGAAUUCAGUCAUUUCGUUGGAGUCAACAGUAAUGUUCUUUUUUUUUUCCGGGAAAACACAGUAGUUUUUUCUUUCAGGAAAACGUAAAAGCCUUGUGUUUCGAUGCAUUGAUAGAAGAUAAGAGUUUGUACAAGUCAGAGAGGGCACAGCUAGAGUGACAACGUGAUGGCCCAAGCCACUAGACACCACCUGCACAGCCGCAAAACCUCUUGCGCCCGCCGUCACCCACUGCCUGGCUUCCGACUUGAUGAUUGCGUUGCAGUGCUUCCAGAAUCACCAUGCCACCAACAUGAUGGCCAAGGACGUGCCCUUCCGAGCGAUGUUCGGGAUCAAGUGGCAUGUCCAAUGCCACCAGUCCACAAAGUCGUCCUUCCGAGCUGACAGUAAUGUUCUAGUUUGCAGCAAAUCCCAAUUCAUGUGACAUCGGCAUUAGCAAUGCAGUCAUGGACAGUUGUUUUCAGCGGGCGGCUUCCGUCCUACUGAUAUAUAUCCCGCAUGAUGAUACCUUAAUGAUCUCUUAAGCAGCAAGUACCUUCAGCUAAAGGUAUCACAAAAGGCUGCAUUCUCUUCAUGGUGCGAUGCCAAUAACAAAUGCAUUUGCUUGAUCUCUUCAUAUCAUGCAUCCAUCCAUCAGCUUGCAAUGCCCUUGUUCAGUUGAUUGGACAUGGAAGUACGCUUUUGCUCGUGAUGUUAGGCAUGUUUUACACACGCGAAAUUGAUUGAGUGGGUGAUAGAUCUCCCGGACGAUCCAUGGAAGAAGUCUCGAGAAAACUAGAGCAACAAAGGGUGGGUAAAUCAAAUUAGCAGCAGGCUAAUGAUGAUGCACGCGCGCGCACACACAUGCACAAUCUUUAGGCAGACGGUGCUGCAGAAAGCAAUAAUACUCAAAGUACCGGAAGCCAAAGAUGCUAAUCUGGAAGUACAUUAGAGUCUUAAUAAAAUGCCUGAAGGAGGAUAUUUCUUCUCUGUCAGAACAACAUAGUUUGGGAAAGCAAUCAAGUGAUUCUUCUCACACAUGCCCUUGCUAUUUAAGAUGGUGAGGCAGUCACAGCGAUUGAAUUCUAGGGAAAAGCCAAGAUUAUCGACAAAAGUCAAGUGAUUGCAUUAUCAUAACCUGAAGGCCAGGAUAAUUGGCGGUCACAGUGCCAUAUGCUGUAGAAAGGUUAUUGGCUUACUACAUAGGAACUGUAUUUGUUGACCAGAUGUUUUUGUCGCAUAACAGUGUCACUGGAACAAGAUCCGGCAUCGACGUACAAUACUUUGCCGAUGUGGAACUCUGGAGAAUUGGCCGGGUCUUUCUGUUUUUCAGGAGUAAGUUUAUGCUGGUUUGCAAGACAUUCGACACAACCUGGUAGCCAGUGCAGGGUCUACAGUCUCCAUAAUUGACAUGGAAAACAAUGUCUGCGGUAAUAAUCAGUUCUAGUCAUCCAUGUUUCUCACCCGGGCCAUAGAAUCAGAAACCCGUUAUUUUUCACCUGUAUGGUCGAUCUAUGGAAAUCACACAACCAGUUACUGUCACCAGGCAUGUCGGCGAAAGCCCAGACUUCUUGCAAGGACUUGCACUGUUUAACUACUUGGUCAUAAGUGAUGCACAUAAUUGAUCGUGCUGAAUAUGAUAAAUUUUUUUGACGGAUGAGGAUGAUAAUGUGAUUGAUGUUAAUUA